UUAGAGGUAUUUUCAGUACUCUGGCUUAAGAGCCAAUGAUGUUUUUAUUCAAAAUGUCUGAACCUGUCUGAAGCAUCCCAGUGAUGCAACUUCUGUGUGAUACUGAGGCUUUUUUGCCAUGAGUAUUUGUUCCAUAGCAGGUUUUGAAUAGAAGUUGGCAGCUUUAUAAAAAGGGUAUUAGGGUGGGUGCAGUGGUGCAGUGGUUCACACCUGUAAUCCCAA
ensembl:snoRNA SNORD91B small nucleolar RNA, C/D box 91B